UACGGAGGGUGCAAGCGUUGUUCGGAAUCACUGGGCGUAAAGCGCGUGUAGGCGGCCUUCUCAGUCUGGUGUGAAAGCCCGGGGCUCACCCCCGGAAGUGCAUUGGAUACUGGAAGGCUGGAGUACCGGAGAGGAGGGUGGAAUUCCUGGUGUAGCGGUGAAAUGCGUAGAUAUCUGGAGGAACACCGGUGGCGGAGGCGGCAUCCUGGACCAACACUGACGCUGAGUGAGCGAAAGCCAGGGGAGCAAACGGG
rnacentral:rRNA from 1 species